UACGAGGGGGGCUAAUGUUGUUCGGAAUCACUGGGCGUAAAGGGAGCGUAGGCGGGCUUCUAAGUUAGGUGUUUAAUCCCAGGGCCCAACCCUGGUCGUGCACUUAAAACUGGGAGUCUUGAAUAGUGGAGAGGUCAGUGGAAUUGGGGGUGUAGCGGUGGAAUGCGUAGAGAUCCCCAAGAACACCAAUAGCGAAGGCAGCUCGCUGGGACGGUACUGACGCUAAGGCGCGAAAGCGUGGGGAGCGAACAGG
rnacentral:rRNA from 1 species